UAUAUUUUAGUAUAAGAUGUACAGGAGUUUUUGAUACUUCAAGGGAUAGUUUGAUUCUAUCAAGUAUAA
rnacentral:tRNA from 1 species